rnacentral:rRNA from 2 species
GCCCUUUAGUGCUGCAGCUAACGCAUUAAGCACUCCGCCUGGGGAGUACGGUCGCAAGACUGAAACUCAAAGGAAUUGACGGGGGCCCGCACAAGCGGNGGAGCAUGUGGUUUAAUUCGAAGCAACGCGAANAACCUUACCAGGUCUUGACAUCCUCUGACAACUCUAGAGAUAGAGCGUUCCCCUUCGGGGGACAGAGUGACAGGUGGUGCAUGGUUGUCGUCAGCUCGUGUCGUGAGAUGUUGGGUUAAGUCCCGCAACGAGCGCAACCCUUGAUCUUAGUUGCCAGCAUUUAGUUGGGCACUCUAAGGUGACUGCCGGUGACAAACCGGAGGAAGGUGGGGAUGACGUCAAAUCAUCAUGCCCCUUAUGACCUGGGCUACACACGUGCUACAAUGGAUGGUACAAAGGGCUGCAAGACCGCGAGGUCAAGCCAAUCCCAUAAAACCAUUCUCAGUUCGGAUUGUAGGCUGCAACUCGCCUACAUGAAGCUGGAAUCGCUAGUAAUCGCGGAUCAGCAUGCCGCGGUGAAUACGUUCCCGGGCCUUGUACACACCGCCCGUCACACCACGAGAGUUUGUAACAC